rnacentral:rRNA from 1 species
GAUGAACGCUGGCGGCGUGCCUAAUACAUGCAAGUCGAGCGAACAGACGCCGAGCUUGCUGCUCUGACGUUAGCGGCGGACGGGUGAGUAACACGAGGAUAACCUCCUUAUAAGACUGGGAGAACUUCGGGAAACCGGAGCUAAUACCGGGUAAUAUAUUGAACCGCAUGGUUCAAUAGUGUAGGACGGUUUUGCUGUCACUUAUAGAUGGAUCCGCGCCGCAUUAGCUAGUUGGUAAGGUAACGGCUUACCAAGGCAACGAUGCGUAGCCGACCUGAGAGGGUGAUCGGCCACACUGGAACUGAGACACGGCCCAGACGCCUACGGGGGGCAGCAGUAGGGGAUCUUCCGCAAUGGGCGGAAGCCUGAUGGAGCAACGCCGCGGGAGGGAUGAAGGUCUUCGGAGCGUAGAACUCUGUUAUUAGGGAAGAACAAAUGUGUAAGUAACUAUGCACGUCUUGACGGUACCUAAUCAGAAAGCCACGGCUAACUACGUG